AUCCAUCUCAAUCUCCGGGACAUCGGAGUCCUCGAGGAGGGGCGUAGCGGGAGUCGGAGAAGGUGGUAGACCAGGAGACUGCACACGUGGAACAGUGGGUGCUAGGCCAGGAGACUGCACACGUGGAGCAGUAGGUGCUAGGCCAGGAGACUGCACACGCGGAGCAGUAGGUGCUAGGCCAGGAGACUGCACACGCGGAACGGUAGGUGCUAGGCCAGGAGACUGCACACGCGGAGCUGUAGGUGCUAGACCAGGAGACUGCACGCGCGGUUGCACUGCUGGAGUUGACGGUCGGGACAAUGCUUGCGUUCUCAUUGCCUGGCUCUGCUGGGGAACAUAGAGAUGGCCUGGUGUGGCCUGACUAACUGGCCCGCCUCGGUUCACCAGUUGGCCUAUUAGAUUGUCAAACUGUCGCUGGUCAUAUUGCUGAUACUGUUGAGGGUAGGGACCUCCAUAGGCAUUAGCACCUCUACCCUGUCCUGGGCCUCCUGUCGGCGGUCUCAUAUGCAUGUAGGGAUUUGCAGCAAGGCCCAUAACCCGACCACGUUGAUGGUUUGGCAUGUUGCGCAUAUCCUGCCAGCAUUACACAAGUCCAUCAAG
rnacentral:lncRNA from 1 species